rnacentral:rRNA from 1 species
AUGGCGGCCCUGCAGCUUGCCGCCCUCCUUGCCCUGCUGCUCGCACUGUGGCGUCUCGUGUGGCGGCCGCGCGCCAUGGCGCGGUCGUUCGUGAGGCAGGGGAUCCGAGGGCCGCCCUACACGUUCCUGGCCGGGUCCUUGCCGGAGGCGAAGCGGCUGCUGAUCGCUGGCCGGAGAGGCGUGCCGCCCCUCGACGCCGGGUGCCACGACAUCAUGCCCAUCCUGCUGCCGCAGUUCCACAGAUGGGUUGCCGAUUAUGGCAAAACGUUCCUGUUCUGGAUCGGGCUGAUCCCCGCCAUCUUCUCUAUCGACCUGCAGCUGAUAAAGCAAGUGCUCACAGACAUGACGGGCCUGUAUCAGAAGGACUUCAUGAUCCCCGUGCUCAAAUCCCUCUUCGGCAACGGCGUCAUAUUGAUAAAUGGUGACGAUUGGAAGCGGCACCGGAAAGUAGUCCUUCCUGCUUUCAACUAUGAGCAGAUCAAGAGCAUGUCAGCGGUGACGGCAGAGGUCACAAGGCAGAUGAUACAGCAAUGGGGCGAGCAGAUACACCAAAGCAACAGCGACAAGAAAGCAGCUGAGAUAGACAUGAUCCACGCCUUCAACGACCUGACUGCCAAGAUCAACGGCCGUGUCGCCUUCGGCACUACCCACCGGGAUGUCGAGGAGGUCAUCGUCUUGAUGCAGGAGAUGCAAAAGGUCGCCACUGCGGCCAUGCUCGAUGCUCCAAUACUCUGGUAUCUGCCGACUCGGCGUAACUUGCACGUUCGACGCCUGAACAAACAGCUGAGAAGCAAGAUCAUGUCGAUCAUGCAGGCACGGCUGGCCGCAGAUGGAGCCAAAUAUGGUCGAGGAGACACCGGCGGCUGCGGGGACGACCUGCUCGGGCUGUUGUUAGAGGCGUGGACACCGCACCGGCAAGUGAGGGGCGGCGAUACGCUGACAACUGACGAGGUGAUUGAUGAGUGCAAAACCUUCUUCGCCGCAGGGCAGGAAACCACGGCCACCCUCCUCGUCUGGGCCAUGUUCCUGCUUGCCGUGCACCCCCAGUGGCAGGACAAGGUCAGGGAAGAGGUCCUCCGGGAGUUCCCCGGCGGGGAAAGCGACGAUGUGGUACCCAACGCGGAUGUUCUCGCCAAACUGAAGCUGGUGCGUACAUUUCAACUGUCAAUGUCAUUUUUCCUAUAUUUUCGUACGAAUGUAUUCGGUAUCAUAAAUGCUCAUAUUGUUUCUAUAAAGUUGAUCAAAGUUUACAAAAUUUAA